rnacentral:rRNA from 1 species
GACAGAUGGUGCAAACGUUGCUCGGAAUCACUGGGCGUAAAGGGCGUGUAGGCGGGAAGGAAAGUCAGAUGUGAAAUCCCUGGGCUCAACCCAGGAACUGCAUUUGAAACUCCCUUUCUUGAGUGUCGGAGAGGAAAGCGGAAUUCCUGGUGUAGAGGUGAAAUUCGUAGAUAUCAGGAGGAACACCGGUGGCGAAGGCGGCUUUCUGGACGACAACUGACGCUGAGACGCGAAAGCGUGGGGAGCAAACAGG